GUGCUAUCAACCUAUCUCCCUCUUAAAUGCAGACAUUAAGCUAUUCACAAAAGCACUCACAUUAUGCCUCAGUUGGGUGAUUCCAGGCCUUAUCCACAAGGACCAGGUGGGGUUUGUGACAGGUAGAGAGGCAAGGGACAAUACCAUUCAGGCCCUCAACAUCAUACAUGGGCACAGAGUAGCGAAAAGGGCCACCACCUCCUCUUAACGGACGCAGAAAAGCGCUUCAACUGGAUGGACUGGCAGUUCAUAUCACACUCCAACACAUGGUUCUCGGUCCAAACAUCAGAGCAUGGAUAGUGUCCCUAUACACGAUCCCCACCGCCCAGAUAUGAGUGAACGGUGCACUGUCCCAACUGUUGAUCAGAAACGGCACCAGGCAAGGGUGCCCCCUGUCCCCCUCCUGUUUGCCCUCGCUCUCAAACCUAUAUUUAGAGGCAGUCAGAUGGGAUGGGGGAAU